AUUGAACGCUGGCGGUAGGCCUAACACAUGCAAGUCGAACGCGAAAGUCCUUCGGGAUGAGUAGGGUGGCGGACGGGUGAGUAACGCGUAGGAAUCUAUCCUGUAGUGGGGGAUAACGUUUCGAAAGGAACGCUAAUACCGCAUACGCCCCACGGGGGAAAGCGGGGGAUCUUCGGACCUCGUGCUAUAGGAGGAGCCUGCGUCGGAUUAGCUAGUUGGUGAGGUAAAGGCUCACCAAGGCGACGACCCGUAGCUGGUGUGAGAGGGUGAUCAGCCACACCGGAACUGAGACACGGUCCGGACUCCUACGGGAGGCAGCAGUGGGGAAUAUUGCGCAAUGGGCGAAAGCCUGACGCAGCCAUACCGCGUGUGUGAAGAAGGCCUUCGGGUUGUAAAGCACUUUCAGUGGGGAGGAAAAGCUGGUGGCUAAUAUCCAUCGGCCGUGACGCUACCCACAGAAGAAGCACCGGCUAAUUCCGUGCCAGCAGCCGCGGUAACAC
rnacentral:rRNA from 1 species